GAACCAUGGGCCUGAGCUGGGCUUUGAUUGCUGUUGGGCUCCUGGAAGACCAAAGUCUAGUAUUGGAUCAUUUUCAAGUAUUUCUACAUGCGGAUCUUGGGCUUGGGGAGGCCCUGUUGGACCUGUGGUGCCGCUAGUAGAAUCCAUGGUCGGGGAAGGACCAGUUUGUGAGGAGGUUGGUGGAGGAUCAGCCAUGAACAGUGUUGUAACAUCCAUUUUUCCAGAUUCACUAUCACUGGAAAAAUCAUCUUCAUUGUGAGAAGAGUUAUCUUCUGAAUCAGAAGGAAUUGAUAUCAUGUGCUGAGAUGGUGGUUCAGGAUGCAUCUUGUCUUUGCCCUUAUCAAUCUUUCUUUUGGUGAUCUGGGAUUCUUCUAAGGAAGAUGGACUUCUAAGCUCAUAUCUGGUGGGUGCUGGAGGAGCUAGUCUUUAAAACAAGGGAGAUGGGUUAUAGGUUACAGGGGUUGUAUCAUAUGAGUAGUUGAAAGGUCCAAAGGGAGAGUCAGUAGGUUCAGGUGUUGCAAGGAAAGGAUUUUGUGAUCUCGGGGCAGAGAAAUGGCUGUAAGAAGCGGGUGCUUCUGUUGGUCUGUGAAGGUCUGCUUCGACCUGAGCCAAUUGUUUUUCAGUCUCCUGAUCUCAGCUUCCUUUUGGGUAAACUCCAUACCAAACCUUCUUUGUUGUAUCAAGGACUUGAGAUCCUUAUCAAGUUGUACAAUCUUUCCUUGUAAAUCUUUGUACAUACUCUGGGCAAAUGCAGUAAAGGAAUCUACCUUUUGAUCAAUGUGCUGAGUUCUUAUAAGAACUUAAUCAAUCUUAGAAUCAAUUCUUUGCAGUGUCUUGUUUUGAACCGCUACAUUUUUUGUUUGUCAGUUCAGAACU
rnacentral:misc_RNA from 1 species